AAUGAGCUACUUAAGUUCUAUCAAGAAUUUAAUAAGAAAUGUAGAAAAAUUUCUAAAAGAAACUUAAGUAGAGAUUAAAUGUCUCCGCAUUUACUGAUACCUGGUUACUUUCAAAGGUAAUAUUACCAACUUUAAAUAAGUUAAUUAAUUUUGGGAUAAGCUAAAGUUAAAAUGAGAAUUAUAAUAAUUAAAUUUUUACAUUAUUUUAGGCCUAGCAAUAGCUCAAAAAAAAACUGUAAUAAGAAAAAUAAUAAAUAAAAAUAAUUUUAUUAAUAUAUAAUCUAGUAUAGAAAGUAAUAGUAAAAAACAAUAAAUGUUACUAAAUAAAAUGACUAUAUAAGUAUGUGAAAAAAAAAUUAUAAAAACUAUAAAAAUAAAAUAUAUUAGAAAGGAACUCGGCAAAAUAGGCAACGACUGUUUAACAAAGACAUAGCUUCUAGAAAUUAUUAGAAGUGUCUCCUGCCCAGUGUGAUAAUCAACGGCCGCGAAAGUGCUAAGGUAGCAAAAUAAUUUGUCUUUUUAUUGAAGACCAGUAUGAAAGGAGCAACGAAGCCUAACUGUCUCCCUAACAUAAACAAAAAUUAAUUAAAGAGUGAAAAAUCUCUUAAUUUUAUGAAGGACGAGAAGACCCUAAAGAGUUUUAGUAAAAUCUAAAUACUUUUAUAGAUAAUACUUUUAUUGGGGCAAUAUAAGAACAAAAAAAAUCUUUACUAAUAUGCCCUCAAAGAGAAUAAAACAAACUACCUUAGGGAUAACAGCGUAAUUUUACCAGAGAGGACUAAUCGAAGGUAAAGUUUGCGAC
rnacentral:rRNA from 1 species